rnacentral:tRNA from 1 species
CGUAUUAAAGUUUAUUAUGAAUUUUUCUGUUACAAUGAAAAGGUCUCGAUUGGGUGAUAUGAAAA